rnacentral:lncRNA from 1 species
UGGCAUUCCUAAUAUGCAACAGAAUGACGCUCUUCAAAGAGCCAGAGCACAGGCCAUUAUUUCCUAGAUUGUAUCAUGAACAAACUUCACCCUAGUUGAAGGGAUUAGCAGUAGCAAGUAGAGGAACUUCAGCCUAGGGGUUUAUUGUGAAGCUCAGACUCAAUAUUUUAGUUUGCAAGAUGGGCUCCUUGCCAUGUGACAUUAAGACUGGCAGGGAGAACAACAGAUACAGCAGAGGUAAAGAUGAGGCCUGAUCUGAUCUUUGUAUUGCCAAGAGCCCAGCACAGGCCCAUUUGAGGAAAAAUCAACAGAUACUGAUGGAACCACAUGAUUCUCUCAUGGAGAUGCUCACAGUAUGGACCUUUCCUAUGAAAGCAUCAACUGGAAGGUGUGGAUGGAAACCAUAUGACUCACAUUGCUACCACGGCAGCCUAAGUCCAUCUUUGUAACAGACAUGGCAACACAUCUACUAUCAGAGACUGGGCACAGAGUAAAGGACUCUUGGUUUCAAAUUUAUAGGAUACCACUGCCAGACUUAUGAUUCCUGCUAAAGUUGACCUGAGUGUCCUGCAGUAAGGGAGGCUUCAUUGCACAGUGACUUAUCCUUGCCUGCUUCUUUCUGGAAGAUUGACCUUUNUGAUUCCUGCUAAAGUUGACCUGAGUGUCCUGCAGUAAGGGAGGCUUCAUUGCAGUGACUUAUCCUUGUCUGCUUCUGGAAGAUUGACCUUCGAUCAUGUCUCAGAACUAUCAGUAUAGUGUGUCACUGCUGUUGACAGCUUUUCUGAUUAAUGUUGCUAUUCUAGUCUGAUUAGUCAACCUGAUAGAGAAUCCUUAUAAGAAUGAUUCUUUCUAGGUAUUAUUUUGGAUACAUUUUAUCAGUAAUAAAUUCCCUUCUGGUCCAGGUACACUAAGGGUAAAAGAAGUAAAAGAACUCCUUGAUAUUGAUCCAUGUUACCAGUUUGCUAUUUAUCAGACUACAAAAGAAAUAUAUGAACAAGGACUAUGUUAUAACCAAGAAACAUGUCAAAUAUUUUACUCUACUUACAUUAAAAAAAACUCCAUCAACUUUUCAUAUGUAAUUUUAUUUUUGCCUUUACUUCUAUUCCAUAUAAGCAGGAGGCCAUAUUUCAGAUGCCUUACCCUCCAUUUGAAGAAAAAAAAAAGCUCUGUUGGAUUGGAGUGCUCAUGUGUCUUCAUUUCAGUGUCAACUCAUGAAAGUUCUCCUUUAUACUCAGAUUGGCUCGAUUUCUCAUCUGUAAUGCAGCAUCCAAAAGAAAAAAAAAGGACCUAUCAGAGCCUGUAAUAAGCCAUUGGACACUGUGAUCCUGGUGAUUUUGAAUGCUGUGCUUGAGGAUAUCCCUUUUUUGUGGAGGGAAGGAAAUGUUAGAAAAAUCUGAUUUUUUUUUCCCUUCUCCAAUGGAAAAUAUCUAUCUUUCUCCCUGACAAGUAUCUACAGAACCCUUUGGGGAGGCUAGGAGAAAAAUUAAAGUAUGCAUUCCAGUGUAAUUUUGAGAAUACAACUUGGGAGGACCUGGCUUUUCAUUUCACUUCCCUCCAUGACUGCUUUACAUUAUCUUUGAUACCCUUCCUUGUUUUG